GACUGAUCGCGACUGAACUAAAUACUGAACUGAACGCAAACGGCAGGAUUGAACCCCACGCAAGACUCUCUGGCUCCUGCCUGCUGGAAGCUACUAAUAAAAAAUAAGGAGCUGACUCCUGACACUGAAAACAGACAAGACUGAGUUUCUGGUGAGACCUGGCAUAAAUUAAAUCCAGGCAAAGUAAAGCCGGAGGGUGCUACUCAGCCAGUUCAACAAGUGGAUGGACAUAGAGAUACUCCUAUCACCCCAUUUGAUGCAUCAACAUGCUACUACUACAUGACUCAGUUAAAGAUACAGUCAAAUUGGGGAGAUAUACUGAUAGACUGGGGCAAUCAGACCAACUUCUUUUUGUCAACAUAAUGGCAUUACUAAUUCCCUGUACACUUACCAUUUGCACUGGGAAAGUAUCGACACAAGGAUUUCAGAAAGACUUACACCAGCUAACGCAAAUAAAGUUGUUUCCUGUUACCAGCAAGCCUUGCAAAACUGUGCUGAAUCCCUUUUUAAUCCCUGAAAGUCCAAUCAGAAGGUUAGAGACUAGCAGAAUCAUUACAGAAGGUACAUAACUUCAAUGUUUCUUCCUUGCAACAUCUCUGAUGUAGUACUACAAUGAAUUUGCACUCAGAACAGGUCCAUCAUCAGGAUUAAGCAGCUGUGUUGUUGGGUUUUUUUAGUUCUUAGUAAUUGAGACAGCAAUGAGAUGCCCCUUGGUUCAUCUCUCUCUUUUACCAUUUUGUCUGCAAUAUACAUAGUUGCAGAACAAGUUCACUCUUCAAAGGUAGAUUUCAGUGUGAAAGUUAGAAUAUCAGGAAGCUUGUUUCUAUCCAUUUAGACUUUAAUCAAGUUGAUGGUUUCCUGUCCCAUCACAAAAGAUUAUAUUCUCAUCAAUUACUGCUGUUGUGAACAGUCACUGUGCUUAUCUUAAGCUCUACAUAAAUUGUACUUUUUGGAAUUCAUUGCCAAAUGAUCUCAUUGUUUGCCGUUGUUGUUUUUCUCUUUACCCAUGUAUUAUAUGCCUGCCAACUGAAGAUCUCUCAUCUAUUAAUGUUUAUGCCAUAAUACACCUGUUAAUCUUUAAAGUGCCACAGGACUUUGCAAUUUUUAUUUGAAAGCCUUACUGAAAAAUCAAGAAACAACCAGAAUUUAAUUGCUCAUACAAGUUACUUUUUUAUUAAUAAUACAAAGUAAAGGAUACAAAAAAGAACACAAAUAUAAAGGGCAGAUUGCAAAGCAAUUAAGCAAACAAACACCAAGGAUAAGGAAAAUAAGCAUGAUUGCUAGGAUGUAAAUAAUUAAAUAUAAAAGCUAUCAAAGACAAAUCUGUAAUUAAGGGGGGAAAACCCUUAGGAGAGUUAGUAGUCAUAAGCCCAGAAUCAUCUAAACUUGAGGAAGAUCAUACUAAUAUCUUUAUCUUCUUUGUCCAAAAUUUCUUGAACAGUGCCCAUUUCUGUUCAAAUCGGUUUCUGUUUUCCCUCCCUUGUUGUACCCAUAAAAUCCAAGUGAUUUUGCUUAAGGUUGCAGAUUCUCAUAGAUUGAUGUACCAUUCUUUUCAACAAGUG